CUCCCUCUCCGCCCUCCUCCCCUCCUGCCCUUCCCUUCCAUCUCUCCAACCAAUCACUCUUGGAAUCAGUACCAUUAGAUUUCUGUCUUAGCUUGCCCUUCUCACUCACCUCUUUGGAAGUUGAGAGCUACAUUCAGUAGAGGACUGUGGGCGUCUCUGUUGAAGACCAUAUUUGAAGAACCCCGCCAUGUAGGAAUAGCAGUAUGUGAAGCAGAUACUUCCCGGGAUAGUCUGUGAAGUGCUUUUUCAAAGGAGUUAGAAGUAAUAAAUGGCCUUGAAAACAGAUGUGAUGGCACCUAGAAGCACAGAAGCCAUUCUUCAGCCAUGAGAGGCACUGAAGAGAGGCUCUGCUAGCUGAAAACUCAUCACGGUGCUCAGGACAGAGGAUGUAAAGUAAACAAUUGGAGAGCAUGCAGCUUUGCCAGACACGAGAGAUGAACUUUUUCCAUCUACAACAUACAGAAUAGGAAGCUGAGACCGAGAAGUUUCAUCCCACUCAAAGUCAGCAAAGGGAGGAGGAAGCAGUGCCACAGCCCAACCACAGGGCUCUUUCUAUACCCACAAGUUCGUCAGCUUUAAAUUCUAAUGGAAAUGAUUCUACUGGGCCUGACUGAUUGACCCAAUAUUGCUGGAUUCCACAUAUCCAUGUGAUGCUGUCCCCUCUGUAUGAGGAUUUAAGUGUGGAAAAUUGUAAUGGAUGCCACAAGAAGAAAAAAAAUGGAAAUGGGAAAGAAUAAGUCAAAGUUCCAACAUUUACUCUCAGGCUUCAUCAUGAAGUAAUAAAAUUCUCUCU